AGAGUUUGAUCCUGGCUCAGAACGAACGCUGGCGGCAGGCUUAACACAUGCAAGUCGAACGCGUGUAGCAAUACACGAGUGGCGCACGGGUGAGUAACGCGUGGAUAUCUGCCUUUGGUUCGGAAUAACCCCGGAAACUGGGGCUAAUACCGGAUGGUUCCUUCGGGAUAAAGAUUUAUCGCCAAAAGAUGAGUCCGCGUACGAUUAGCUAGUUGGUGAGGUAAUGGCUCACCAAGGCGACGAUCGUUAGCUGGUCUGAGAGGACGAUCAGCCACACUGGGACUGAGACACGGCCCAGACUCCUACGGGAGGCAGCAGGUGGGGAAUAUUGGACAAGUGGGGGCAACCCUGAUCCAGCCAUGCCGCGUGAGUGAUGAAGGCCGUUCGGGUUAGUAAAGCUUCUUUGGCGGGGACGAUGAUGACGGUACCCGCAGAAUAAGCCCGGCUAACUUCGUG
rnacentral:rRNA from 1 species